UGUUGUGUGAUGCAGUCGGAGCUUAACUUUGAUCGUUUUUGAUUCUCUCUGUAUCUCUCACUUGCAGAUUUGGUUUUUUGUUCUGGAGGCCGUCGGCAUGUCUGUGAAGGGUGCUGCAGGCCCACCCCUCGUACCACCGGUUCAGCAUGCAAUCAUCCGUCAAUUCCGAGCUGCAGCGGCUUUGGCUGGAUGCGCGGUGCACCCCACCUACUGCGGCGCAACACAAUGACAAGGUGAGCGCGUUUCUCUCUGUGUUUGUUCCAACGUUCACUUCACGCAAGUCGCAAGCGUUCCGGGCUCUCUUCGGCGACGGCGCCGCUCUUUUAGGGCUGCUAUGCAGAGACUUCGCUACUCUCGCGCGCCGGUUAACUGACGAGGACGCCACAGUGGUCCCAACUUUAGCGACACUCGCAACCGUGCGGCUGUUCUCCCAAGCCUUGCGUCUUCUCAUCGGCGAUGACGCUCUUUCGAACACGGAGGUGGGACGGCUAGCCAGCGCUUACGAGAACUUCGGCAACUUCAACGUUGUCGCCCUAGCCCUCGUUCUUCACAACCGCCUCUUGCACGCAGUUCAAACGCAAGAGAGGGAUGCCGCUGAUUGGGGUGCGGUCGCCCAGACUGACGCCCGCCUCCUUCAGCUUGUCAGCGCCGUCGUGUCCUGCCGGCACAAAGAGCUGACGAGACGCUCGAUGCUCGAGGCCAUUCUUCCGGAACGCGUUGCCAGCGUUGCUAGGACGGCAGUGACGUACUUUUCUGCGCCAGAGGAAGCCGGGGUCGAGGCUGCCGAGGCGAGCAGCAGUAUUCUCCACCAGCAGCUCCCAAACGUCCUCGACGCGGACACGGUGGUUGAGACGCUGAGGGUGAUGGAGGGCGCACUGGUCUCGUCGCAGCGGCGCCCUUCCACCUCAGCCGCUGCGGUGUGGUCUUUCAACUGCUUUGCGUGCUUCCUAGAGAACAUCAUCUACGCCAAGCAACUCAUCGGAUUUUCGCCGGUAGAAAGUUUGAACUUCGACGUCAUCACGGCGACCGUGCUGAACCUUGAAAAGGAAGUCGGUGAGGACGGCAUGCCCGCCCUACAUCGCGUGGUGGGGAGUCUGCGUGUGCUAGCGCUUGCAGAGCGGCCUGACGUGUCGAGCCGACGGCCAUCCAACACGUCUUCUUUGGGCAGCAGUUUUUUCCGAAUCCUUCCCGCGACGGUAGGCAGAAUGCAGCAGCGCAUCGCGGGCUCGUGGGGCACUUCUGAGCAACGCGAGACGCCGCUAGGUGUUCACUGCGAGGGUGCCGUUGAAUCGCUGGCGCGCCUGUUCGUUCUCAGCACGCAGAGCCAAAUGACAGAGUUGUGUGGGCAGCAGCUUUUUCAGCUUCUCCUCAUGAGGGGCGUCUCGGCGGCGCUCUUAGGGCUCGUGCUCUCGAUCUGUGCUGAGAGUGCUCCACGCUUUGAGGCUUCAAACCUGUGCUCUCUGAUGGCUUUCGUCGGCAAGCUCCCGUGCAAGGGCGAGGUCGGCGAAUUCCUGAAAGCGAUUCUGGAUCAUCUUCGCUGCGGGCGGUUUUGUUUGCCGGAGCAGCGGCUGGCAGUGGUGGUCUUCUUCAUCGAUUGGUGCCCCAGGGCCAGCACGCACGUCGCCAUGUCGCUGGCGCUUGGUGUAGUGCAGGCCUGCGUACACUGCCUGUCGCAGCUCGCAGUCGACCCGCGCGCCGAUGGCUUGGAGACGUUUGCGGAGCACUUCUCUGUCUUGGCGAAGGUCGUGCUGGGGUCGAAGGAGGCGGCGGACUCGCUUAUUAGCGACAACUGCUGUGCCUCGCUGCUGCAGGUGAUGCUGGCAUCGCUUGAGUCGGGCCAGCUACACACCGCCGUGCUGCUGCGCGACGCCUUUGUGGGGCUGGUGAUGAAAACGAAUCUCUUCUGCGAUGUUCUUCUCGAACAAAUCGCGUCUGCCACGGAUGCGGACGCGUGGACGUCGAUGGCGACUCCGCUUCUUUCCACUCUAGUGCUGCUCCUACACUCCUGCGGCCGGUACAACCGAGCGUCUUUGCCGCACAACUGCAUCGAACUCUGCCUCUCGCUCAUGCAGGAUGUGGAGAGCCACAGUCAGCACCCGCCGGUCGAUCGCCAUCUUCUCGGCUGCUGUCUCAGCUUGUUGCUGACGCUCGUCAACUACAGUGAUGUGUGGGAACUGGUGGAGCGCACGGUGGGCACGCUGCCGGCCAACUGCGACCAUGUUCAGAGCAUGAUAGAUCUUUGCACAGGGGUGCUGCGCUCCAGCGAGAGUCUGGCCAUGGCCGAGCGGUACUUUACCGAACCUGCUGAGAUGAAGGAGCGGUGGUCGGCGCCGUGUUUUGUGCACUUUGGCCCCUUUGCCGUGAUGGAGGAACCGUAUAUUGAAAUGCUCUACCCAGUGAAACUGCUGGUCCACAUGGUGGAUACGAUGCUCACAGACCAGCACACCGAUGCAGCGAGCGGGACGGAGGCGACGGAGUACCUGAUGCUACACUCCGGCGUGACAGUGCCGAACUCGUACGUGGCAGAUUUCAUUGUACGCUGGGAGCGCUUCACGUGGAUUCGAUGCGUCUCGAAUGUGUACGAUCCGAAGCUGCUGCCGCUGUUCUUCACACGCGCCUCGACGUUAGCCACCGUCCAGAAGUGUCAGCGUGUGUGGCUGGAGGGGCUUGCCGAAAGUGUCGCCACCGGAGAAGUGCCGCACCACUACAACGACUACAUUCACCUAGGCGAGGGCGGCGGUGCUAAGGGGCUCGUGACAUCCUCUGGUGUUGUGUGGCCGCCGCUGGAUGCGUAUACUGCUGCGAUGUGGGUCUACAUGGAUCCCAUGCCCUCUGGCCGGCAUGAGGGACGUGUGGUGCUGUGGCAGCUAGAGUGGGAUGCGAUGGGGCGGCACGUGUGCUUGUCCCUCGUGGCGCAUACCCAGCGCAAGUGCUGCUUGUAUCGAUGCGACCUUGACGGUGACGUGACGGUGGUUGAAAUGCCCGCGCUGCCGGAGCAGCGGUGGGUUCAUGUGGUCACAUCGCAUGCCCGCGGCAAGAUGUUUGCGUCGCAGCUGAAAAUGUACUUUGAUGGGGUGGAGGUGGCAUGCAACGGGUGCCCUUACCCCGCCGGAGGGCUGCAGACGGCCGCCGCCGUGGCCGCAUCCCUCCCGUCCCUGCUGAGCCGCGAGGUGGAAGUCACGAUCGGAUCCCCGCAAGACACCCCAAGCACGCAAGCAACCUUGCGUCUCAUCAGUUUUCAGCUCUACGGCUGCGGUGCCUCGCUGCGGCAGAUUAGUUCCCUUUACGCGAUGGGGCCCUAUCCGUCUGGCCAAGUGUGGGACAGCGCAGGACAGCAGGUGUACGACCUGCACGCACCGUGCCUCUGCGACCAGGUCGUGCGGACCCUGGAGGCAUCUCUGCAGAGCGCUUCACUGGAGUCGAUUCUGCGGGAGCAGUGCGUGGUACUGGCCUUUCCUCCCACGAUGGCCCUUGUGCAGGUGCACGCGUUUGCUAUGGAGCAAAUCGACACAUCGUUCGGAUACUUGAACAACAAGCAGUGGGCACUCCGCAACCUCGCUGCGCCGGCCAUGUCUGUGCUGUGCCUUCACGGGUACUACCGUCCUCCCCGCGACAGCCGCACCACCAGUGUUGACGCGCUCCUGUGUAACGGGGCCUUUUACGAGUGGAUGCGGUGGAUGCGGUGCGUCUCUGCCGGUGUGCUCGCCGCAGAGCGAGAGAGGGACUCUGCGACGGAGACGGACAAUUCUGCCUCCUCGCCGGAGGGAAUAGAAGCAGGCCUCGCAGCGGUUCAGCAGACGGCGUGCAAUUCGCUGCGCGUGCUGAAUCUAAUCAAAAAGGCAGACAUGCUUCCACUGAACUGGCAACGGUUCAUGGUGCAGUUUGCCGAGCACGCCACCUGCCAUCCGCAGAUAUACCUGCAUCACGCCACCGCCGUCACACAGCUCCUGCAGCUGUGCAUGCAAACGGUACGCUACCGCGACAAGCACGGGCAUGCCGUGGAUGGGCAGCUGCUGUCGAACCUGCUGCCGCUGGAGCACAUCUUCUUUAACUGGCGCCUGCUCUCAAAUCUACCAGAUGACUCCUGGAUGACCAUUAUUGCGACGUUGCGGCAGUUGGUAUCGCCGUCGAACGCGUUGGCUGGGCUCAACACAGCACGCCUUCUCAUGGCGGACUUCGUUAACGGCUUUGUGCUAGGUCUUCUGCGCGAAUACGUGGCGUUUCCGCGGCUCGUAACGGCGAUCGAACUGGUGAAAUGCGUGUUGCUCACCAGCCAGGCGACGGAGGAGCUGAUGGAGCGAGUUUUGAUGGCAGCAGUGCUCACCGUUCCAGGUCCGAGCCAAGACGGAGCGACCAGCACGGUGGAGAGCCAUCUGGGCAGCAAGUUGGCCACCACGUCAUGUGUGUACCUCGUGCUGGCUCGGAACAUGCUUCUUCGUUGCCUGAACGAGGUGCUGGAGAUGACGUUGAAUGACGGCAACGGCGCCUUUCUCGCCACGUUCGUCUCGGUUGUGCCGGACUGGUGGUUCACGGCGAUGCUCUCGGGCAGCUCCCAUCCCGUCACCGCGACACUGACGCUGCGGCUCUUUGUGCUUUGCUUUCUGAACGCGAAGCCUUUCCGUGAAGCGUGCUCGGCGACAAAGGCGGAGUGCAUCUCGAGGGCGAUGGAGCCGCACUGCCACCAACGGGAGCUGAUGGACGUCCUUGUGCAGGGCUAUAUGGGCCACGUGUGGGCGCCGAGCUCGUCCCAUGCGGUCUACAGCACAGCGGGAUGGAGUGGCAAAACAGAGAUGGAGGGGUUGCUGGUGCUCAUCCUGCACCUCCUCAAGGCCCAGUGCCAGCUGCUGCUGCGCGGCACCCCCGUGACUUCGGAGGAAGUGACAGUUCGCGGUUACUUCAGUGCUGCAGCCGCUGAGGCCACCCGUGUUGUGGCGGGCAAUACCUCACCAUCGGCUGGCCGUUGGAGACGUGUUCGACUCGCACUUGCAGCGGUGCGCCGCCUGAAAAAAGCUGCCUGCGACAAGAAAGGGGCGAAGGCUGGCGGGUCCGUGGCGUGCUUGGAGGCGGCUGUGCAGUACACGGCCUCUAUCGACAGGCUGAAGAGCUUGGUGUGCGAGGUGCUUGAUUGGCUCACCCAGUCCUAUCAUCUCUCGAGAGCGCUCAGCAAGUCCCUCUACCAGAGCAACAACUCGGCCAACUUGUGUGAUUUUCUCAUGUGGCCGGUGCUCGUGGCGCUGUGCUCGAAGGAGCCGAUCUCUGCGCAGCCGAGGGCGAGCGUCGAGUUGCCAAACAGAGCUCGUGCGAAGGAGGAAGACGACACGGCAGCGUCCAGCAGUGGGGCUUCUACCGACGUGGACGAGGAGGAAGAGGAGGAGCAAUGGGAGGUGCUGCCAGACCCCACGACGUACGAGGCGCGCAGCUUCGGUUUGGACUCGAUGGGCCCGACGGAGGGAAUGGAGAAGGUGUACGACGCGUGCAUGAUGUUCUUCCUUACGUAUGCCGGAUCACGAGCGUCGAACGCCAGCUUUCUCACUAUUGCGGGAGGCCGCACGACCAUGAGCAAGUACGUGCUGUCUCUUCACCGCGCGCUGUCGGCAGAGGUCAAGGGCGCCGGCAACCAUGCUGAGGACGCUCGAAAAGCGUUCCUCUGCUUUGUGUGGCUCAAGGCGUCGGAGCAGGCGGUUGGCGGCGCGUCCGACGUCAGCGCCGCGGCGGUGAAGCGCAACGCCGUCGAGCUGGGCAAGUACAUGCUGGACCGCCUUGUCAGCGGAGGCGCCGUUCCGCCGGCGGCGAUCGCAGCCUUCUACCGAUUUUUGCUGGCUCGGUUGGAAUGCGACGCCAUGGUGGUGAAGAGUGCGCGCACGGCACUGUUUGAGUGGUUCAUGUACGUGACGAGUGCCUCCUUUUACAAGCUAGACGCUUCCAAGGUGGGUGUAGUCGUGGACAUGGCGUACAGCUGCGCUGACAUGCUCUUCUCUUACCCGAUGCCGGCGAUGGAGCUGCUGAAGGUCGUCGUUGGCAGGCUGCUUCAGGUGACGGUGUGCCUGUGGAACAGCAUCGUCGACGACAGCCACCCCGCCAUUCGAAAAAUGGCGGUGGUGUGGAAGGCGGUGCUGUGCGCGAAUGAGAAGAACACUUUUGUGGCCUCCCUCUUUGUGUGCGGUUCGCCGGAGGUGGACACAUUCCACAACGGCUUCGAUCUACUACUGCCACCCAUCGCGUCUCCAGAAGCGUUUACGAUUUGGAUGCGGCAACACCACGCCGAGGUUGCGCAGCUGCUUCAGUCUUAUAUGGGACUCUCGUACGCCUUUGUCAUGGCUAAUGGCGGCGAGCACCUGCGGCUGAUCACGCGUCACACGACCUCCUCCCUCGCCGAGUGGGACCGCCGCCGACGUCACGUGGCAGCUAUGGUGGCUGCGCACUGGCAGCUGUGGAAGGGCACCUUUAUGACGACUACCUUUGUCGACCCGGCACUGCUCGCGUGUACUGUGAGCCGAUACCCGCACUACUGCGUUUUCAACGGCGGCGGCGCCGCUGUCGAUGCCGAGGUUGCUGUGUGCUGCGAGUGGUCGAUGGAUGACAACGGAGCUGUUGGUCAAACUCGCCGCUACGUGACGGAGAACGUGGACGAGGUUGCCAGUGACCCGCUCAGUUUUUAUAUCCGCUACGCGCCGCCUGUAUGCUUGCCUCUGCGGCGGCAGGAAGCGCAAGGUCCAGCGUUGAUGUUGCGCCCCAACGCUCGCGAAUUGGUGGCAAAGGUGGCCGGCCGUGGACCGAGCGGGUCGGUUGUGUUUGUGAGCAACGCCUACCUUGUGCUGGGCACGGAGAGCUACAUUAGCACCUGCAUCCUUACGCGGCAAGAGCUGCUUGUCGUUACCUGCAGCGUGGUCACGCCAGCAGGCGAUUUUUUUGCGGAGCAGGUGCGAGUGCACACCGCCUCGCAGCACUCCCACGCCAAGCCGUCUCUACUGCAGCAGGCCUUCCGGCUCUUCAUUUCGGGACAAGGCAAAGGUAGUGGCAGCACAUCGUCGCAGGCCGCCUUCCGCUAUUCGCAGUACUACCGCCAGUUGCAAACCGAAUCUGCCAAAGGAAGCAACGCACUGGUGUGGCGCUUCCCGCUCGGCAGUAUCACGUCCGUACAUCAGCGCCUCUUUCAACACCUCUCGGCCGGGCUGGAGGUGGUGCUGGAGUCGGGCAAGUGUGUCUUUCUCGUACUAUUGGACGACGAGCUGUCCUUCUCAAAGGCGUCCCGUGACAGGCUCUUCGCGUACUUCGACAGCGACUCCGACCCUCUCAUGUCCGGCAUCGCUGCACACUCGAUGAGCGAGAAGCUGGUGAAGCUGGGCAUCUGGACGCGGCGGUGGGUGCGGCGGGAGUGCAGCAACUACAUGUACCUGCGCGUUUUAAACGACGCGGCGUCGCGGACUACGGCGAACCUCGGCCAGUAUCCGGUGAUGCCGUGGGUCCUGAGUCGAUACACGGAAAGCAUGCUCGAUCUUGGGGAUGCCAGCGCCUACCGCGAUCUCACCAAGCCGGUAGGGGCGCUGAACGAGUUGAAGGCAAAACAGCUGCAGGCGCGCUACGCGGAGUGGAUAGCUUGCGACCCGGUGGCAGACCCGCCAUACCACUACGGCACGCAUUACAGCACUGCCGCUAUUGUGUUGUACUACCUUAUUCGCCUACAGCCGUUCACCUCUCGCGCCAUUCGCUUCCAGGGCGGCAGGCUGGACAUCGCCGAUCGGCUCUUCCACAGCGUUGCAGAGGCGUGGGCAAAUGGUAGUGGGCGCAGCAGGGGGGAUGUGAAGGAGCUCAUUCCCGAGUUCUUUCGCGUUUCCGAUUUCCUGGAAAACCGCAACGAUGUGUGCCUCGGUACCCGCAGCGACGGCGCUGCGCUGGGCGAUGUUGUGCUGCCGCCGUGGUGUGGUGGGAGCGCUGCGCGGUUUGUGUAUAUGAAUGCGCUGUCUCUCGAGAGCGAAGCCGUGAGCCAACAGCUGCACCGGUGGAUCGACCUUAUCUUUGGCUGCAACCAGGUCGGGCAAGGGGCUGUGGAGGCGAUCAACGUGUUCAGUCCUCUGUCUUACAAGGAGGGAGUCGUUCGUGCUAUAAACCACGCCGCCACGGAGGAGGAGCGCAAGUCGAUUGUCGCCUCUGCCGACAACUUCGGCCAGACGCCGCUUCAGCUGUUCAGUAAAGAGGCACACCCGGCCCGCAAAGAUGCGCUGCGGGUGCGCACUACACAAGCGUAUAUGCUGGAGGCCGUUACGGACAUCACGUCGCGGCCGUGCUUGAGUGCGCAGGUCGUGGGAAAGUGCGAAGGCGGCAUCUCCACAGCUUUCGUUGCCGAUGACACGCUUUUUCUAUGCGACAGAUUGAGUGCCGUGGGCUCGGCAAAGCCGCCGCUCCUCUUCACCUACGAUCGCGACGUAGACAGCAUCGUGUGCACCACCGCACGAAGGGACCGCGUUUUGGCGACCAUACCACAAGUGCGAUCGUCGGGCAGCGGCUGCGUCCGUUGCCUGUGCGCCUCUGUGCGUGGCAGUGUCGUGUGCGUGGGUACAGACUCUGGAAAGGUGAUCGUGUACAGCCGCGAGAGUUGUCGGCAUCGCUUCUUCAUUGUGGCGGUGCUGGACUCCACCAUUGCUGCGGUGCUACAGGAGGCAGGCCCGGUGUCGAGUCUGCACCUCUUCGACGAAGGCAACUUGCUAGUGGCGUACGAGCGGGUUUCUGCGGUGUCUGGUUGGCAUCUCUCCAUCUUAUCCACCAACUUCACCUUCGCCGCGUCCUUUGCCACCCAAGCCGACAGCACCGCCGUGAAGGCCAUUUCCGCAGACAGCCACACGGGCCUGUACUACGCCGCCAAAGCAAACUCCCUUGUCAUCUUCUCUGCCUCUGGUGUGAUGCUCACACAGCUGAAGGUGGACGCACUCCUCAUGUCGGCCGCUCCCGAGUACGCGGCGCGGAUAGCCGACUCGCGCAUAACAGCGCUGCUGUUCGCGAACUGCUCCUCCUUCGCGUUCACGAAUCUGGUCCUCAUGGGGCAUUUCAACGGUACAGUUUCCCUGUGGUGCGUGGCGGCUUCCCAGACCAUUACCGGCGAGACACCGUCUUCCGAGGCGCCGCUCUGGUCUUUCCGAUGGCUGCACGAGGUUGUCUUUGACGCCCCCGUCACGUGCCUCGCAGCGUCUGCCGAGGAACUCAGCUUUGUGGUGGGGCUCGCUAACCGUACUGCACACUACAUCUCGUUUCCCACAUCGGGGCUCGACAGCUCAUAGCACUGACGACUUGUCACACGCAUCCAACGCACUAAGGGACACACGUACACGAGGUCCCUGACUGGACGUCUUUCCAGAACCAUUUCACCAGCGCGGAAGAGCUCGCCGCCUCCCUCCUCUACUCGCUCUUCAGAAUACGGGUUUCCACUUCUCUCCAGGGCUCAUACGGUGCUAUUCCCCCGCGUGCCAUUCUCCCAUCGCCGCCCUCCGCAAGAGGUCCGUUGGCGCUCACAUCAUUCUUUCCCCUCACUUCGAAAG
rnacentral:misc_RNA from 1 species